UGGGGAAUAUUGCACAAUGGGGGAAACCCUGAUGCAGCGACGCCGCGUGAGUGAAGAAGUUAUUCGUAACGUAAAGCUCUAUCAGCAGGGAAGAAAAUGACGGUACCUGACUAAGAAGCCCCGGCUAACUACGUGCCAGCAGCCGCGGUAAUACGUAGGGGGCAAGCGUUAUCCGGAUUUACUGGGUGUAAAGGGAGCGUAGACGGCACAGCAAGUCUGAUGUGAAAAGCCCGGGGCUCAACCCCGGAACUGCAUUGGAAACUGCUGGGCUUGAGUGCAGGAGAGGUAAGCGGAAUUCCUAGUGUAGCGGUGAAAUGCGUAGAUAUUAGGAGGAACACCAGUGGCGAAGGCGGCUUGCUGGACGACAACUGACGCUGAGGCUCGAAAGCGUGGGGAGCAAAC
rnacentral:rRNA from 1 species